UCACUAUAUUGGUCCUAUGAUGCCUGCAAGAGAGGUUUCCUGAGGGGGUGCAGGCCAAUUCUAUUUGUUGAUGGCUGUCACCUAAAGAGCAAAUACAAGGGUGUGUUGCUUACAGCUGUUGGGAUUGAUCCCAAUGAUUGCAUAUUUCCAAUUGCAAUGGGGAUGGUGGAGGUGGAGUCAACUUACUCUUGGGAAUGGUUUCUCACCACUUUGAAGAAUGAUUUAAACAUCAUUAACACCUCCCCUUUCACUAUAAUGAGUGACAAGCAAAAGGGUUUGAUCAAUGCUGUUGAGAAGAUAUGGCCAGAUGCAGAACACAGAUUCUGUGUUAGACAUCUUUAUCAAAACUUCCACCAGAAGUUCAAAGGAGAAACACUGAAGAAUAUGUUGUGGGCCAUUGCUAGGUCAACUAAUGUGGACAAGUGGACCUUGAACAGAGAGAAGCUUAGGGCACAGAACUUGGAGGCAUAUAAUUGGUUGGAUGGCAAGCCCCCCAACCAGUGGGUGAAAGCAUACUUCAGAGAUUUCCCCAAGUGUGACAUUUUGCUGAACAACAUGUCAGAGGUGUACAACAGCUACAUCUUGGAUGCAAGAGAAUUGUGUGUUAUAUCAAUGCUAGAAUGCAUAACACAUAAAAUUACUGUGAGGCAUGACAAAAAGUACAAAGAAGCUUCAGAAAAGUGGACUGGACUUAUCUGCCCCAAGAUUAGGAAGAAACUGGACAAAAAUGCAGAGUACUCAGGUAACUGCUUUCCAUCACAUUCAGGACUUGGAAUUUAUGGUGUUGAAUCAGGCAACAACAAGUAUGUUGUGGAUAUUCCAGCAAGAACUUGUGAUUGCAAAAAAAUUCAAUUGGAUGGCAUCCCUUGCAAUCAUGUGAUUGCUUGUUGUAGAGCUGAUAGGAUUGACCCUGAAACAUUGGUUCACAAGUGCUAUAGCAUAGAAAAUUAUCUAAAGGCAUAUGGGCACAACAUCAUGCCUAUGAGGGACAGGAAA
rnacentral:rRNA from 1 species